UACGUAGGGGGCUAGCGUUGUCCGGAAUCAUUGGGCGUAAAGCGCGUGUAGGCGGUCCGGUAAGUCCGCUGUGAAAGUCGAGGGCUCAACCCUCGAAUGCCGGUGGAUACUGUCGGGCUUGAGUACGGGAGAGGCGAGUGGAAUUCCUGGUGUAGCGGUGAAAUGCGCAGAUAUCAGGAGGAACACCGGUGGCGAAGGCGGAUCUCUGGGCCUUACCUGACGCUCAGGCGCGAAAGCUAGGGGAGCGAACUGG
rnacentral:rRNA from 1 species